ACGGAGAGAUUCAUCGUCAUUCCACGGCGUACGUGUGCUUAUUAGAUGUGAUGUGAUUUCGGUCGUAUCUCACUGUAGGUUGCGCGUUCACGUCCGUGGACGGCGUGCACUUCUCUCUUAGUAAUGCAUCGCGACCCGUUCGAUGUCGGUCUAAGCGCCGUUCGGGAGCCCAAUCGUCCCUCUUUACGGGGGGGUGGCUGGACCGUGACGGUGGCCGACCGGCUGUCGGACGGUAUAACUUAUGAAUCGCGUACGCGUUUUUGACGCGUCCGGCCCGACGCAAGGUUGUUACGUUAUCGAGGUCCUGCCUAUGUGCGAAUUUCGGUACGUCACGCCUGUUGUCGCAGCCGUGCUGUCUCGGACUGUGCGCGUCUCUGUCUGCGAUGAUUCAGUUUCGGGCACUCGCAGGACCCGUCUUGAAACACGGACCAAGGAGUCUAGCAUGUGUGCGAGUCAUUGAGAUUUUUAAACUGAAAGGCACAACGAAAGUGAAGGCGCGCGCUCGUCGCGUGCUCAGGGAGGAUGGAGCGUCGGUCUAGGUCGACCUCUCGCACUCCCGAGGCGUCUCGUUUCCAAUCUGUGAAUGUAGGCGCGCUCUGAGCGCAGAUGCU
rnacentral:rRNA from 1 species